rnacentral:piRNA from 1 species
UGAGAGUAGACUUAUUGGUCUGUAA